rnacentral:tRNA from 1 species
GGGGUUGUGGCUCAGCGGUCGAGCACUCACCUAGCAUGUGCAAGGUGCUGGGUUCAAUCCCCAGCAACACAU